UUGAUCUGUUUGCGACAUUUUUGUAUUUCUUGGUGCCAACCUGCUUCUCCUUUAGGUAAAAUUAACGGAUAUUGAAGCGAAUCAUAACAACCAUAAUAAUGUUUUACUCGAUGUUUAUUUCCUGAAUGUUCAUGUAUUGCAAUAUCUCUUUCAAAUGGUGUAUUUGGAUUGUUUCCGUCUACCCAAAUUGCUGCGACCUGAUCCACCGACGGUUUGUUAUACACCCUUUAAUCUAAUGAAGCAUUUGCAGCUAUGCGUACUUGCAGAUUUUGUAAGUUUGUAUGUUCUUUAAUCCGUGAGAAGAAUUCUGCAUAUGGAUUCCCCUCCAUUAUAUUUCUUAAUUUGGUCAUGACUUCCUCUGAUAAAUUUGCAUCUUGUAGUACUGUCAUUCUAUUGGCUAAUUCAUGGUCAGUAUCAUAGAAGUAUAGUUGAAAGUAUCGUGGUCUGUCGUUGUUUGGAAUUAACGAUGUAGAUCAUGAUAUAUCUGACCUUGUGCCUUGAAACUGUAAACUCCUUUCCUAGAAGAUGUCAAUUCUUUGUCGAGCUUAACUCCAAAUGAUGUAAAAGCAAAUAUGCUAUUAUACGCACGUAUGUUUUUCCUGAAUAAUUUUGCGUCAUCUGAAUCCGCCACAAAUAAUUCAUAAAAGUCAUCUGCCACUUCAUUGGGUGCUAAAUUGAUACAUCCACUUGCGCAACAGAAUGUUGAUGGC
rnacentral:lncRNA from 1 species